rnacentral:rRNA from 1 species
UAGUCAUAUGCUUGUCUCAAAGAUUAAGCCAUGCAUGUCUAAGUACAUACUGUUUAUAAAGUGAAACCGCGAAUGGCUCAUUAAAUCAGUUACGGUUCCUCGGAUAUUCUUUUUUACAUGGAUAACUGUGGUAAUUCUAGAGCUAAUACAUGAACAAGUGUUCCAACCUCAGCUUGCUGACGGAAGGAUCGCAUUUAUUAGUACAAGACCAAUGAUUCUUAUUCACCUAGAACCCUGUUCAGUGAUUUCGGUCGCUGUCUAAGGACUAGCAGUGGGGAUCUUAGCAACUUCGGUUGCAUUUCUUGUGAUGACUCUGAAUAACUGAGCAAAUCGUAUGGCCUCUGAGCCGACGAUGUAUCCCUCAAGCAACUGCCUUAUCAACUGUCGAUGGUAGGUUAUGCGCCUACCAUGGUUGUAACGGGUAACGGGGAAUUAGGGUUCGAUUCCGUUAUCAAAGUUAUUUAAUUGUUUAUAAGAAUAGUUUGCUUGAGAUUCCCAAGGGACACUCGCAUCACUCGUUGGUACGGCAAAGUGAGCCCUUGGGGUGAGAUCUCGGUUACAAGAGUGGGGGGAGCUUGGGGAACUCCUCCAUAGUUAUAACCCGUUCGACAGGGUUCGUCGAAGGGUUGUACA